rnacentral:rRNA from 1 species
CCCUUAGAUGUUCUUGGCCGCACACGCGCUACACUGAAGGAGGCAGCGUGUACUCCUGGAUCGAAAGAUUUGGGUAACCCGCGAAUCUCCUUCGUGCUAGGGAUUGAGGUUUGCAAUUAUCCUUCAUGAACGAGGAAUUCCCAGUAAGUGCAAGUCAUAAGCUUGCGCUGACUACGUCCCUGCCCUUUGUACACACCGCCCGUCGCUACUACCGAUUGAAUGAUUUAGUGAGGACUUCGGACUGGGACCGAUGCGGCUUUCGGGCUGCGUCGGUAUUCUGGAAAGAUGUCCAAACUGUAUCAUUUAGAGGAAGUAAAAGUCGUAACA